GAUGAACGCUAGCUACAGGCUUAACACAUGCAAGUCGAGGGGAAACGACAUCGAAAGCUUGCUUUUGAUGGGCGUCGACCGGCGCACGGGUGAGUAACGCGUAUCCAACCUGCCCACCACUUGGGGAUAACCUUGCGAAAGUAAGACUAAUACCCAAUGACGUCUCUAGAAGACAUCUGAAGGAGAUUAAAGAUUUAUCGGUGAUGGAUGGGGAUGCGUCUGAUUAGCUUGUUGGCGGGGUAACGGCCCACCAAGGCGACGAUCAGUAGGGGUUCUGAGAGGAAGGCCCCCCACAUUGAAACUGAGACACGGUCCAAACUCCUACGGGAGGCAGCAGUGAGGAAUAUUGGUCAAUGGGCGAGAGCCUGAACCAGCCAAGUAGCGUGCAGGAUGACGGCCCUAUGGGUUGUAAACUGCUUUUAUAAGGGAAUAAAGUGAGUCUCGUGAGACUUUUUGCAUGUACCUUAUGAAUAAGGGCCGGCUAAUUCCGUGCCAGCCGCCGCCGUAA
rnacentral:rRNA from 1 species